rnacentral:lncRNA from 1 species
UUAGUUAUUUUAGUUAAUUAGAUAAGCAUGCGAGACUAAGUGAUAAUAUAAUAAAUAAACAUUACACAAUAAAUAAAGAGAUGAGCAAGGGGAUAGAAAUUUGCACAAUUAGAUAAGCAAACCAACUUUAUUUUAAUUAAACUACCCCAAAUAAAUAUAAUUAUAAACAGAUAAAGGGACAAAAGGAAAGGGAGACGCUGAAGGACUUUAGGAUCAGUACUCGACUUUUCUUUAUUUCGGUCGGCUUCUCGUAGGGACAGACAAAACCAAGGUUUGUCAUUUAGACCGAGUCGAUGUCAUCAUAUCCAUAGGGCCUAGACUACCCCUACCCUACCACCGCAUGCUUAACGUCUCUACAAGGUGCCUAUCGUCCCCGCUUAAGGUCCAAGAGGCAUUGGACUACUAUUAGGGUGGGUAUAGACUAAAAAGAAAUAUAAUAGGCCCAUCUAGACACCAAGUCAAACAAUUUGGACGAGCAUUUAGCACAUAGAGUCUCAUGUUAGCCUCUAGAUUUUAUUAAACAUGCUAACAAACACAAGUAAUGUGAAAGGAAUCAUGCUAAGUGUGUGUGCAUACAAACAUGUAUUGACAACAUAAUUAUAACGAUUUAUUUUAUGAAUUUUAAAGGGGCGGAAAAUUGAUACAAGUGCAAAAGAUUUAAUGAUUUAAAAGAGUGGCAUAACAAUGAUUAGGAUGCGGGAAAUAGUUUAAGCAGUAGCAGAUUUAAAGUCUUUAGAUGAGCCAGUGGCAGAAUGUCAUUGAUUAAUAUGCAGAAACUGAUUUAAUUUAUUUUAAGUGGCAAAACAGUGCAGAGAUUAGUUUGAACAAAAUUUAAUCGGGAUAGCAAGUAGCAGAUGCAGAAAAAUGACUUUUUAGUAGCUGAUUUUCAGUACCUAAACAGAGCAGAAUCUAAUUGGUUUGAGCCAGAUUCAAUCUAGGCAGUAGAUAAUAAUUUUUAAAAUGAAACAGGAUUUCUCUCCUUUUAUUUAAUAAUAUGCUGAUUAACAUCUCAACUUGUUAAUUAUGUCCUAUAGGCGUGAUUUCUAAGUGUGAAUAUGCUGAAAAUAUUGUCAAACCCAUAAGCAUAAUAUCCAUUUCAUUUAAACAAAUUGUUAACCAUGUAGGCAUGAUAUUUAAUUAAUAUGUAACAAAAUUUACAUCUAUAUGCAUACAUACUGCACUUCUAAAAUUAUUUAGAUCCUAUAGGCAUGAUAUCUAUUUCAUUUAGACAGAUUAUUAAACACUUUAGGCGGAACUUUAUGGCAAACAUGAUUUAUGUAUUUCUGGACAUUUUAUUGGCAUGACAUUAAUCGUGACUUAAUUCCAAAUAGGUUAACAUGUUAGCAACAUGACCAAACUGAUUUGCUCAAAUUAUAUUAAAGUCCUAGAAGCAUGAUGUCUAAGUAGUAUAAACCAAAUUUCGAAUUUGAACAACAUUAGCAUGUCUGACAAGAUUCUACGAGUUCAAGAUCAAGCAAAUUUGAACAUAUAUUCAUGAUAUGUCGAUUAAUCUGAAAAGGUUAUGAACAAAGGUUAAUUUUAGGUCAAUAUUAAAAUAUAUUCUAAUAUGCUUGCAAGGUUUACGAUUUAAGCAACGUAGGCAUGUUUUAGCAAUCACACAUAGCAAAAAAUAAACUAGACUAGAAAUGAAAAGAAAACAAUUAGCACGUAUAUCCCCCUCCCCCUUAGACGAUCCCCCAAAUUAUUCAUAUAUAGGAGAGUUUAGAGAGUUAUACAAAAUAUUACAAACCGAACAAAAGCAAAUAGUAACGACAUAAUAUAAUCCAAAGUAAACUAUUAAACAGAAAUAAGUUCUAUCCGGUAUCCCGCCUUAAGCGACUUUUCAUUCUUGAACUUGAGUUCAGAACCUAUUAAACAAAAUAAUACCAAACACAAGAUUAUAGCAUAAUAGUAACUAUAUAGAAACGUAAUAAAUAUUCACAACAAACACACGAGUUUCGAAUCAUAGCACAUAUAAGAACACACAUUAAUAAGGAAAGGAUAAGGAGGUUAACCCGGAUGCUUCCUUUUCGAACACACAACAAUAUUCACAAUUAAUAAUGCAGUACGAAAUUUAAACUAAUGAAGAAGAACUAACCUAGUAUGCAGAAAAUUAUUAUCAGCAGUGAAGUCAACCUAAUUCGAUACUCGACCCGAACACAACAAAACCGAAUAGAGAAGCACUUCUUAGAAUGUUCACCGGAUUUUUAUUUUUUAGAGCAGAGAGUAUUUUCUUUUUAAGGUAUUCAAGAGUAAGGCGUGAGCAAUGUGUGUAGACCGUGUGUAUGAGAGGUGACCCUUAACUAAUGAAAGGAAGGGUCAUUUAUAUACUAUCAGAGUACAGACCAAAUAAAGGAAGGGAAUUAAAAGGGAAUCAAUUAAUAUUUUUCUUAUUUUGAAAGAGCCACAAUUUAAAAAAAAAAAAUUUUUUACCAAAUAUAAAGCAAGUAAGAAAUCUGGUUAAGCUUAAUUAAGGUGAGAAUAUAUCCACUAACACAUUUUCCUUAUUAAGAAGGAAGCCAAAAUCAGACUUGUUUUAAUUUAUUUUUACCAAAUAUAAACAAGUAAGAAUCUAUUUAAAACUAAGGCACCUAAAAUAACACCGCCAAACAAAUUGCAUAUCAUCAACCAAAAGGAAUAAAAUUAUUUUAAGAAGGACCAUAUCACGGCUCAAACCAAUAUUACAAAUUAACAUCCCUGCAUAUUUUAUCAAGAAGUAAAUACGGCAAUAGCAUCAAUAUAAUAUGAUUAAGGUAACGAAAUCAAUUAAGGUCACCCUAUUAGCUAUGAUAUUAUUCAUUUGAAGACACUUUAAAAGAUGACUAUUCAAGGGAAGGAAUAAAUUUACAGCCCCAAUCCCUUAUCAUAGUAAAACAGUGAGCAAAUUGGUAGGAAUCAAUUAUUUCAGCAUAGAGGACAACUAAAUAAGUCCAAAUCAGCGACUAGAGGAAACAAUCAGAAAAUGGUAAGUUAAACAUCUGUUAUCAAUUUACUAGAGCAAGUAUUAAGGUGCCAAUCACAAAGGCCAAUCAAUAAGAUAAAGAGUAUGCGAUUAAACAUUAUCAUAAUCAAAUUCCAAAAUUAAUUCGAUAAUAUUCUACACUAUAAUUAAGCAAGACAAACAAUUUCAACAUGGUGUAAAGUCAAUUAAGGAAUGAAAAUAUGCAAAGGUUAGUGGACAAUAAAAUUCAGAUUAAAACCAAUUUUUGAAAAGAAUCAGUGAUUAGCAAGUUAAUACCAGCAUAGGUUCAAUAAGCUGUCAACCCAAAAGUUUAUGCAUACAACGGAACGAAUUCCUAUCAUUCAAGCAUCAAGCACAUAAAAGCAAUCAUAUGAAAAAUAUAAUUUAAAAAGUAGGAACAACAUAGGGUUAAAUAGAUGAAGUAAUAAUUGAUCGAAAGAAAAUACCGAGACGGAUCUGUUGAGAUCCGUCUUCCACCGAUCCUAAUUUCGGAUUUCGCCGGAGCUCGCUUGGUCGGACUGUUGUUGCUGUUUCGCCGGCAGCUGCCUUGGAGUUGUUGUCGUCUUCGUCAUCACUCAGGUGGUUCGCCUGGCUGCUGUCUGGAGCUGCUGGAGUUCGCUGGUUGCAGCUGCUACUGGCGCUGCUGGUUGCUGGUCGGAGCUGCUGUCCACGCCGGCGCUGCCCUUGCUGGUUGCUGCUGCUGCCAGUGUUGCUGGCAGCUUCUGCUGCUGUUUCUCGCCGGAAGGGAGGAGAAAUGAGAAAGAUGAGAUGGAGAAGAAGGGAGGAGAGGGAAGGAGAAGAGAGCAACGAAGAGAGGGAGAGAGAAACGGCUGCCACCAGCAGGUGGUGGCAAUUUUCGCCGGAAAAAAUGGAGAGGAGAGUUGAGAGGCGGCUGCUAGAGAGAGGGAGAGGAUGAGUGAAUG